GGGCUCACUUUGGCAGUUCAUAUACUAAAAUUGGAAUGAUAGAGAUAAAAUUAGCAUGGCUCCUGAAGAAGGAUGAAACACGAAUACAUAAAGUGUUCCAUACUUCA
rfam:Otolemur garnettii contig172210, whole genome shotgun sequence.